AACGCGAAGAACCUUACCUGGGCUCGAAAUGCAGUGCACCGGGGUGGAAACAUCCCUUCCCGCAAGGGGCGCUGUAUAGGUGCUGCAUGGCUGUCGUCAGCUCGUGUCGUGAGAUGUUGGGUUAAGUCCCGCAACGAGCGCAACCCUUAUUGUCAGUUGCCAUCAGGUCAAGCUGGGCACUCUGGCGAAACCGCCUCGGAUAACGGGGAGGAAGGUGGGGAUGACGUCAAGUCCUCAUGGCCUUUAUGUCCAGGGCUACACACGUGCUACAAUGGUCGGUACAAACCGUCGCAAACCCGUGAGGGGGAGCUAAUCGGAAAAAGCCGACCUCAGUUCGGAUUGGAGUCUGCAACUCGACUCCAUGAAGCUGGAAUCGCUAGUAAUCGCGGAUCAGAACGCCGCGGUGAAUACGUUCCCGGGUCUUGUACACACGC
rnacentral:rRNA from 1 species